GUAGGAUAUGGUGGUUUCAAAACAAACAUUUUUAAAAUUUAUCAAUAGUGACAUUGUAACACUAUUAUCUGUCAUAAAUAUCUGGAAAACACUCCACAUGUAUAAAAAAUUUUUAAAGUAGACACCCGGGAUAUUUUGACACUUUCAAUGCAGCCAUUUUACCACCAGUCUUUGCCAAACUUCGCAUAGGUAGUUUUCUUGUCACAUACAUUGCAAUUCAGGUAUAAACUUACAGAUCCUGUUAUGUCUUGCUGCAAAAAAACACACUAAUAUAUGUUCAGCAACAUCUCCAGAGUACAGUGAUACCACCCAUGCAUAGGCUUGUUGAGUUGUUUGGCGGCUAAAAGGCCACAUUUGGCAGGUGCGCAUAUCCAUUUUCCAACUUGGAAUUUUGACAUGUAGUCAACCUGCGCACAUGUCCUAUUUGGGACAUUUGUAAGGCCGGCCAAUGUAUUUUACCCCCACCAAACCAUAUAUUUUUGGAAAGUAGACACCCUAGGGUAUUUCAAAUGGUGGUUUUUUAACACUUUCCAUGCACUAAUUCUACCACCAGACUUUGGCAAACGUUUAGGUAGUACUUUUUUGUGUGUUUUUUUCACACACAUUGCAUUUUAGGCAUGAAUUAACAGAUUGUGUUAUGUGUCACUGCCAAACAACACCCCAAUAUGUGUUCAGCAACAUCUCCUGAGUACAGUGAUAACACCCAUGCAUAGGCUUGUUGAGUUGUUUGGGGGCUAAAAGGCCACAUUUGGCAGGUGCGCAUAUCCAUUUUUCAACUUGGAAUUUUGACAUGUAGUAAACCGGUGCCCCUGUCCUAUUUGGGUCAAUGUAUUUUACCCGCAUCAAACCAUAUAUUUUUGAAAAGUAGACAACCCAGGGUAUUUUAAAUGGUUUAUCCCAUUCUGAAG